rnacentral:rRNA from 1 species
UACGUAGGUGGCAAGCGUUAUCCGGAUUUACUGGGUGUAAAGGGAGCGUAGGCGGACUUUUAAGUGAGAUGUGAAAUACCCGGGCUCAACUUGGGUGCUGCAUUUCAAACUGGAAGUCUAGAGUGCAGGAGAGGAGAAUGGAAUUCCUAGUGUAGCGGUGAAAUGCGUAGAUAUUAGGAGGAACACCAGUGGCGAAGGCGACUCUCUGGUCUGUCUCUGACGCUGAGGUGCGAAAGUGUGGGGAGCAAACAGGAUUAGAUA